rnacentral:rRNA from 1 species
UCGCCUUGUUUUAUCAAAAAACAUAGCCUUUAGCAAACCAAGUAUUAAAGGUAACGCCUGCCCAGUGAAACUUAAACGGCCGCGGUAUCCUAACCGUGCAAAGGUAGCGUAAUCACUUGUCUCCUAAAUAGGGACCUGUAUGAACGGCUAAAUGAAUAUUUAACUGUCUCUUUUAACUAAUCAGUGAAACUGAUCUUCCAGUACAAAAGCUGGAAUAAUAAUAUAAGACGAGAAGACCCUGUGGAGCUUUAAAUUAUAACCAACAUAUAAUUACCACAAUUAUUUAUGCUUAACAUUUUAAGUUGGGGCGACUUCGGAUAAAAAUAAAACAUCCGAGUAAAUAAGGCACUGCCUAAAAAAGGCCUACAAGCCAAAACUAAUAUUGACCCAGUAUUACUGAUCAACGAACCAAGUUACCCCAGGGAUAACAGCGCCAUCUUCUUUAAGAGUUCAUAUCGACAAGAAGGUUUACGACCUCGAUGUUGGAUCAGGACACCCAAAUGGUGCAGCCGCUAUUAAAGGUUCGUUUGUUCAACGAUUAACAGUCCUACGUGAUCUGAGUUCAGACC